rnacentral:rRNA from 1 species
AUUGAACGCUGGCGGCAGGCCUAACACAUGCAAGUCGAGCGCGCGGCGGACGGGUGAGUAAUGUGUGGGAAACUGCCUGAUGGAGGGGGAUAACUACUCGAAACGGUAGCUAAUACCGCAUACCAUCUGAUGUGCCCAUAUGGGAUUGGCUAGUAGGUGGGGUAACGGCUCACCUAGGCGACGAUCCCUAGCUGGUCUGAGAGGAUGAGCAGCAACACUGGACCUGAGACAGGGCCCAGACCCCUACGGGAGGAAGCAGUGGGGAAUAUGGAACAAUGGGCGCAAGCCGGAUGCAGCCAUGCCGCGUGGGUGAAGAAGGCCUGAGGGUUGUAAAGCACUUUCAGCGGGGAGGCUUUACCCGCAGAAGAAGCACCGGCUAACUCCGUGCCAGCAGCCGCGGUAAUUC